UACGUAGGGGGCAAGCGUUGUCCGGAUUUAUUGGGCGUAAAGAGCGUGUAGGCGGCUAGAUAGGUCCGUUGUGAAAACUCGAGGCUCAACCUCGAGACGUCGAUGGAAACCAUCUGGCUAGAGUCCGGAAGAGGAGAGUGGAAUUCCACGUGUAGCAGUGAAAUGCGUAGAUAUGUGGAGGAACACCGAUGGCGAAGGCAGCCCCCUGGGAUAACACUGACGCUCAUGCACGAAAGCGUGGGGAGCAAACAGG
rnacentral:rRNA from 1 species